AUUGAACGCUGGCGGCAGGCCUAACACAUGCAAGUCGAGCGAGCGGCGGACGGGUGAGUAAUGUCUGGGAAACUGCCUGAUGGAGGGGGAUAACUACUGGAAACGGUAGCUAAUACCGCAUACCAUCAGAUGUGCCCAGAGGGGAUUAGCUAGUAGGUGGGGUAACGGCUCACCUAGGCGACGCUCCCUAGCUGGUCUGAGAGGAUGACCAGCCACACGGGAACGUAGACACGGUCCAGAGUCCUACGUGAGGCAGCAGUAGGGAAUAGUGCAGAAUGGGCGCAAGCCUGAUGCAGCCAUGCCGCGUGUGUGAAGAAGGCAUGCUGGUUGUAAAGCACUUUCAGCGGGGAGGCGUUACCCGCAGAAGAAGCACCGGCUAACUCCGUGCCAGCAGCCGCGGUAAUUC
rnacentral:rRNA from 1 species